GAUGAACGCUGGCGGCGUGCCUAAUACUUGCAAGUCGAGCGAACAGACGAGGAGCUUGCUCCUCUGACGUUAGCGGCGGACGGGUGAGUAACACGUGGAUAACCUACCUAUAAGACUGGGAUAACUUCGGGAAACCGGAGCUAAUACCGGAUAAUAUAUUGAACCGCAUGGUUCAAUAGUGAAAGACGGUUUUGCUGUAACUUAUAGAUGGAUCCGCGCCGCAUUAGCUAGUUGGUAAGGUAACGGCUUACCAAGGCGACGAUGCGUAGCCGACCUGGGAGGGUGAUCGGCCAGACUGGAACUGAGACACGGUCCAGAAUCCUACGGGAGGCAGCAGUAGGGAAGCUUCCGCAAUGGGCGAAAGCCUGACGGAGCAACGCCGCGUGAUUGAUGAAGCUCUUCGGAUCGUAAAACUCUGUUAUUAGGGAAGAACAAUUGUGUAAGUAACUAUGCUCGUCUUGACGGUACCUAAUCAGAAAGCCACGGCUAACUACGUG
rnacentral:rRNA from 1 species